GAUUUUGGUGAAAUCUAUUCAGCCCACAGUGCAAAAUUUUUAGUCAGUUUUCCAUUGCUAAAACAAAAUUCCCAGACUAGGCAAAAAAAAAAAAAUCUCCUUAAAAAGAGAUUUAUUUAGCUCAUAAUUUUGGAGACUCAAAGUCUGAGAUUGAGUAGGUAGCCACAUGACUUUGUCCUCUGGUGAGGGCCCCUUGGCUAUAUCCCAUCAUGGCAGAUGGCAUCAUCGUGGGAGUACCUGUGACCGGGAGAGAUCACACAAGAAACAGGGAGCCCAAGGACAAGGAGGAGCCAGGAUUUCUCUUUCCUCACAAUUUACCCUUUCCAUAACUCACUCACUCUCGGUGAAUUACAAAAAUUCCUUUACAGGGCAAUGCCCCGAUCCCCUCUCACUGGGCUUCACCUCUUCAAGAUUCUUCAAGAUUACAUCAGCUCACAUUGCCACACUGAGGACCAAACUUCCUCGGGUCCAAAGAAGGUGAGCUGAUGGCAGGUGAAGCUGAUGCCAUUCCUAAGAAUCCUGGGAUGAUGUCACAUAAGCAAAGAAGUGGCUCUACUCUAACUGACGUCACAGCCAUUUACUUGACUACUGGACUUCUGUUCCUUUGAGAGCCUAAAUCAUUCCUAAAGUCAUAGCACAAAAGGUUGGAGUGUGGGUGGGAGAGAGGAUAGGGUGGGAAGUAUCACUAUAUUCCUAAAUCUGUAUAUAUGAAAUAUAUGAAACUUAUGUAAUCGAAAUAAAAUUUUAAAAAAUUCAUAGCA
rnacentral:lncRNA from 1 species